rnacentral:rRNA from 1 species
UCUGGUUGAUUCUGCCAGUAGUCAUAUGCUUGUCUCAAAGAUUAAGCCAUGCAUGUCUAAGUAUAAGCUUGUUUAUACGGCGAGACUGCGGAUGGCUCAUUAAAUCAGUUAUAGUUUAUUUGAUGGUCUCUUUUGUCUUUUUUUACCUACUUGGAUAACCGUGGUAAUUCUAGAGCUAAUACAUGCGCAAGGUCCCGAGCGCGGGGGGUGGGGCUUCACGGCUCCAUUCUCGCAUGCGCAGAGGGAUGUAUUUAUUAGGUUAAAAACCAGCGUAGUCAGCAAUGGCUACAAACUCCCCUGGUGAUUCAUAGUAACUCUUUCGGAUCGCAUUCAUGUCCUCCUUCGUAGUGAUGGCGAUGUUUCAUUCGAAUUUCUGCCCUAUCAACUUUCGAUGGUAGGAUAGUGGCCUACCAUGGUCGUAACGGGUGACGGAGAAUUAGGGUUCGAUUCCGGAGAGGGGGCCUGAGAGAUGGCCACCACUUCUAAGGAAGGCAGCAGGCGCGCAAAUUACCCAAUCCUGACACAGGGAGGUAGUGACAAUAAAUAACAAUACAGGCGCUCGAUAAGAGUCUUGUAAUUGGAAUGAGUACAGUUUAAACACCUUAACGAGUAGCGAUUGGAGGGCAAGUCUGGUGCCAGCAGCCGCGGUAAUUCCAGCUCCAAUAGCGUAUAUUAAAGUUGUUGCAGUUAAAAAGCUCGUAGUUGGAUCUAAGGAUGCGCAUUUCAAGCGCCCGUGUCGUUGGGUCAAACCAGCGACUGCGUUGGCGUUGCGGGCUCGGUCCGUCGGUGCCCACAAAGGCACCGGCGUGUCAACCGGCCCGCCCGUCCCCUCCUUCUGGAUUCCCGUUCCUGCUAUUGAGUUAGUGGGGACGUCACAGGGGGCCCAUCGUCGUGUCAUGCAAAUGGCACGGCGGUGAGUCCCUGGGGCCCAGAUCGUUUACCGUGAAAAAAUUAGAGUGUUCAAAGCAGGCAGAUCCAAUUUUCUGAUUUUAUUUAGCAAUGAAUACUAUUAGCAUGGGAUAAUGGAACAAGACAUUGGGUCUAUUUUAUUGGUUUUUUAGAACUAAUGUAAUGAUUAAAAGGGAUAGUUGGGGGCAUUAGUAUUUAAUUGUCAGAGGUGAAAUUCUUGGAUUUAUGAAAGACUAACUUCUGCGAAAGCAUUUGUCAAAGAUGUUUUCAUUAAUCAAGAACGAAAGUUAGGGGAUCGAAGACGAUCAGAUACCGUCGUAGUCUUAACCAUAAACUAUGCCGACCAGGGAUUGGAAGUAGCAUACACUCAAUUUUUGAGCAUUACUCCUUCAGCACCUUUUUACGACGGCUUCACGGCCGGGGCGCGCGAGGGCGGUUUAGCCCGGUGGCACCGGUGUACUCCUUCAGCCCCUUUUUACGAGAAAUCACAAGUUUUUGGGUUCUGGGGGGAGUAUGGUCGCAAGGCUGAAACUUAAAGGAAUUGACGGAAGGGCACA